UUAGAGUUUGAUCCCUGGCUCAGAUUGAACGCUGGCGGCAUGCCUAACACAUGCAAGUUCGAACGGCAGCGCGGACUUCGGUCUGGCGGCGAGUGGCGGACGGGUGAGGAACACAUAGGAAUCUACCCAGUUGUGGGGGAUAACCCGGGGAAACUCGGACUAAUACCGCAUACGACGGAGACGUGAAAGCCGGGGACCUUCGGGCCUGGCGCGGCUGGAUGAGCCUAUGUCGGAUUAGCUAGUUGGUGGGGUAAAGGCCUACCAAGGCGACGAUCCGUAGCUGGUCUGAGAGGAUGAUCAGCCACACCGGGACUGAGACACGGACCGGACUCCUACGGGAGGCAGCAGUGGGGAAUAUUGGACAAUGGGCGCAAGCCUGAUCCAGCAAUGCCGCGUGGGUGAAGAAGGCCUUCGGGUUGUAAAGCCCUUUUGUACGGGAAGAAAGCUUUCGGGUUAAUACCCUGGGAGGAUGACGGUACCGUAAGAAUAAGCACCGGCUAACUUCGUGCCAGCAGCCGGCGGUAAUUCAA
rnacentral:rRNA from 1 species